UUCAGCAGUUGAAGGAGGUGGUUCACAUUCACGUAGGGGACACACAGCCAGAAAUAUGACAAGAAAUCUCAGAAGAGGCGUCAUCUACCUCACUGGUCUCGCAUGUGUGUGUCUUGUUGGCCUCGUGUUGGUGAUGGAUGGUGAAGGUAAACAUGAUAAUUACCAAACUUUGAAGUACGACCACCAGGUAACAGACGACCUCAACGAGAACCAGACAUCCUUCAAAGCCGUUAACCACCAAGUAAUCAACGACCACCAACCACAAAGGGAAGUGAACGACCACCAAUCACCACACGACCACAACGACCACCAACCACCACACGAUCACAACAACCAACAACCACGACACG
rnacentral:lncRNA from 1 species